rnacentral:rRNA from 1 species
CUUGGAGGAUGNAUAGCGAAAGCUUAUUGUAUUAACUUCGACUAAUUCGAAGUUUAUGCAGCAUCGACUAUGUCGAAUAAAGUUCUAGGUAGAGUUAUGAUAAUGACAUUUUCUAUCUAUGUGUCUUGACCAAGUCACGUGCCAGCAGUCGCGGUAAUACGUGGAAGACUAGUGUUAUUCAUCUUUAAUAGGUUUAAAGGGUACUUAGACGGUAAAUUUAGCCCAAAUGAAAACAAAGGGUACUAAUUAUACUAGAGUUUUAUGGGAGGAGGGUGUGUACUAAUGGUGUAGAGAUGAAAUUCUGUCAUACCAUUAUGACAGGCAACGGCGAAAGCAACCUUUUAUGUAAAAACUGACGUUAAAGGACGAAGGCUUUGCGUCACCAACAGGAUUAGAUACCCAAGCAGUCUUAGCAGACAAUUAUGAAUGCCAUAGAUAAGAAAAUAUACCUUGUUUAUAUUUUAAAAAAAAGAAAAAACAAUAAGGAACAAGAUGAUUGCUUUUUCCUAAAAAAAAAAAAGUAUUCUAUUUUUUCUCUAAAAAAAGUAUUUUUUUACUUUUUUUCUAGGAAAAGAUGUUCUUUUGUCUAUAAAUGAAAGUGUAAGCAUUCCACCUCAAGAGUAAUGCGGCAACGCAUAAACUGAAAUCAUUAGACCGUUUCUGAAACCAGUAGUGAAGUAUGUUGUUUAAUUUGAUGGUCCGCAAAAAACCUUACCACAAUUUGUAUAUUAUUAGCUUAAUACAAGAGUUGCACGGCUGUCUUCAGUUAAUAUCGUGAGAUUUUGGUUAGUUCCAUAAAUUAACGUAAACCCUUACUUUAUUUAUGUUAUAAAGUAGUUCACCGCUAUAUUGGAUAUGAUAAAAGGGACUAAGACAAGUCAUCAUGGCCUGAAU